rnacentral:rRNA from 1 species
GACGAACGCUGGCGGCGUGCUUAACACAUGCAAGUCGAACGGAAAGGCCCUGCUUUUGUGGGGUGCUCGAGUGGCGAACGGGUGAGUAACACGUGAGUAACCUGCCCUUUACUUUGGGAUAACUUCAGGAAACUGGGGCUAAUACCGGAUAGGAGCUCCUGCUGCAUGGUGGGGGUUGGAACGUUUCGGCGGUUGGGGUUGGACUCGCGGCUUAUCAGCUUGUUGGUGGGGUAGUGGCUUACCAAGGCUUUGACGGGUAGCCGGCCUGAGAGGGUGACCGGCCACAUUGGGACUGAGAUACGGCGCAGACUCCUACGGGAGGCAGCAGGGGGGAAUAUUGCACAAUGGGCGGAAGCCUGAUGCAGCAACGCCGCGUGCGGGAUGACGGCCUUCGGGUUGUAAACCGCUUUCGCCUGUGACGAAGCGUGAGUGACGGUAAUGGGUAAAGAAGCACCGGCUAACUACGUG